GACGAACGCUGGCGGCGUGCUUAACACAUGCAAGUCGAACGGAAAGGCCCUGCUUUUGUGGGGUGCUCGAGUGGCGAACGGGUGAGUAACACGUGAGUAACCUGCCCUUGACUUUGGGAUAACUUCAGGAAACUGGGGCUAAUACCGGAUAGGAGCUCCUGCUGCAUGGUGGGGGUUGGAAAGUUUCGGCGGCUGGGGAUGGACUCGCGGCUUAUCAGCUUGUUGGUGGGGUAGUGGCUUACCAAGGCUUUGACGGGUAGCCGGCCUGAGAGGGUGACCGGCCACAUUGGGACUGAGGUACGGCCCAGACUCCUACGGGAGGCAGCAGUGGGGAAUAUUGCACAAUGGGCGGAAGCCUGAUGCAGCAACGCCGCGUGCGGGAUGACGGCCUUCGGGUUGUAAACCGCUGUCGCCUGUGACGAAGCGUGAGUGACGGUAAUGGGUAAAGAAGCACCGGCUAACUACGUG
rnacentral:rRNA from 1 species